GAUGAACGCUGGCGGCGUGCCUAAUACAUGCAAGUCGAGCGAACGGACGAGAAGCUUGCUUCUCUGAUGUUAGCGGCGGACGGGUGAGUAACACGUGGAUAACCUACCUAUAAGACUGGGAUAACUUCGGGAAACCGGAGCUAAUACCGGAUAAUAUUUUGAACCGCAUGGUUCAAAAGUGAAAGACGGUCUUGCUGUCACUUAUAGAUGGAUCCGCGCUGCAUUAGCUAGUUGGUAAGGUAACGGCUUACCAAGGCAACGAUGCAUAGCCGACCUGAGAGGGGAAUCGGCCAAACGGGAACUGGGCACCGGCCCCAACCCCAACGGGGGGCAGCAGGAGGGAAUCUUCCGCAAGGGGGGAAAGCCUGAGGGGGCAACCCCGGGGGAGGAUUGAAGGUUUUCGGAUCGUAAAACCUUUUUUUUAGGGAAAAAAAAUUGUUAAAGUAACUUGGCCAAUUUGGACGGUACCUAAUCAAAAAGCCCCGGCUAACUACGG
rnacentral:rRNA from 1 species